rnacentral:rRNA from 1 species
CAGCCGUAAACAAUGUGCGUUAGGUGUGUCGGUAACCACGCGUUACUGAUGCGCCGAAGAGAAAUCGUGAAACGCACCACCUGGGAAGUACGGUCGCAAGGCUGAAACUUAAAGGAAUUGGCGGGGGGAGGCACCACAACAGGUGGAGCCUGCGGUUUAAUUGGAUUCAACGCCGGACAUCUCACCGGAUAAGACAGCUGAAUGAUUGUCAAUCUGAAGGUUUACAUGACUAGCUGAGAGGUGGUGCAUGGCGUCAGUGACU